rnacentral:rRNA from 1 species
GAUGAACGCUGGCGGCGUGCUUAACACAUGCAAGUCGAACGGAAAGGCCAGUGCUUGCACUGGUACUCGAGUGGCGAACGGGUGAGUAACACGUGGGUGAUCUGCCCUGUACUUCGGGAUAAGCUUGGGAAACUGGGUCUAAUACCGGAUAGGACAACUUUUUGGAUAUUGUUGUGGAAAGCUUUUGCGGUAUGGGAUGAGCUCGCGGCCUAUCAGCUUGUUGGUGGGGUAAUGGCCUACCAAGGCGUCGACGGGUAGCCGGCCUGAGAGGGUGUACGGCCACAUUGGGACUGAGAUACGGCCCAGACUCCUACGGGAGGCAGCAGUGGGGAAUAUUGCACAAUGGGCGCAAGCCUGAUGCAGCGACGCCGCGUGGGGGAUGAAGGCCUUCGGGUUGUAAACUCCUUUCGCUAGGGACGAAGCGUAAGUGACCGUACCUGGAGAAGAAGCACCGGCUAACUACGUG